CAACACACCAUCAACAACUCUUUUCAUACCUUAAGCAAACCAUUAUUUACCUCCACCAAUAACUCCUUCUGUUUUUUCUAUGAGCUGACACACAAGAACAAUAUCACUUCAUCACUAACUCAAUCACAUGCAAAAGGCUCAGCUAUACUUACUUUCAAUAAAUCACACUUUCCAUCCUUUCUUUCCACAACACCGCUAAACCAGUUCUAACCAGCAC
rnacentral:lncRNA from 1 species